rnacentral:rRNA from 1 species
UGGGGAAUUUUGCACAAUGGGGGAAACCCUGAUGCAGCGACGCCGCGUGAUUUAGAAGGCCUUCGGGUUGUAAAAAUCUUUUCUAUGGGAAGAAAAUGACAGUACCAUAGGAAUAAGGACCGGCUAAUUACGUGCCAGCAUCCGCGGUAAUACGUAAGGUCCGAGCGUUGUCCGGAAUCAUUGGGCGUAAAGGGUACGUAGGCGGGUAAGCAAGUUAGAAGUGAAAUCCUAUAGCUCAACUAUAGUAAGCUUUUAAAACUGCUCAUCUUGAGGUAUGGAAGGGAAAGUGGAAUUCCUAGUGUAGCGGUGAAAUGCGCAGAUAUUAGGAGGAAUACCGGUGGCGAAGGCGACUUUCUGGCCAUAACCUGACGCUGAGGUACGAAAGCGUGGGUAGCAAACAGG